GCAAGUCGAGCGAGCGGAACCACAGAUUUACUUCGGUAAUGACGUUGGGAAAGCGAGCGGCGGAUGGGUGAGUAACACGUGGGGAACCUGCCCCUAAGUCUGGGAUACCAUUUGGAAACAGGUGCUAAUACCGGAUAAUAAAGCGGAUCGCAUGAUCAGCUUUUGAAAGGCGGCGUAAGCUGUCGCUAAGGGAUGGCCCCGCGGUGCAUUAGCUAGUUGGUAAGGUAACGGCUUACCAAGGCGACGAUGCAUAGCCGAGUUGAGAGACUGAUCGGCCACAUUGGGACUGAAACACGGCCCAAACUCCUACGGGAGGCAGCAGUAGGGAAUCUUCCACAAUGGACGCAAGUCUGAUGGAGCAACGCCGCGUGAGUGAAGAAGGUUUUCGGAUCGUAAAGCUCUGUUGUUGGUGAAGAAGGAUAGAGGUAGUAACUGGCCUUUAUUUGACGGUAAUCAACCAGAAAGUCACGGCUAACUACGUGCCAGCAGCCGCGGUAAUACGUAGGUGGCAAGCGUUGUCCGGAUUUAUUGGGCGUAAAGCGAGCGCAGGCGGAAAAAUAAGUCUAAUGUGAAAGCCCUCGGCUUAACCGAGGAACUGCAUCGGAAACUGUUUUUCUUGAGUGCAGAAGAGGAGAGUGGAACUCCAUGUGUAGCGGUGGAAUGCGUAGAUAUAUGGAAGAACACCAGUGGCGAAGGCGGCUCUCUGGUCUGCAACUGACGCUGAGGCUCGAAAGCAUGGGUAGCGAACAGGAUUAGAUACCCUGGUAGUCCAUGCCGUAAACGAUGAGUGCUAAGUGUUGGGAGGUUUCCGCCUCUCAGUGCUGCAGCUAACGCAUUAAGCACUCCGCCUGGGGAGUAC
rnacentral:rRNA from 1 species